rnacentral:rRNA from 1 species
ACGCUGGCGGCGUGCUUAACACAUGCAAGUCGAACGAGGUCCACUGCGUAGCAAUACAAGGGAAGACCUAGUGGCGAACGGGUGCGUAACACGUGAGGAACUUGUCCCGGUCUCUGGGAUAACAGUUGGAAACGACUGCUAAUACCGGAUGACGUCGGAAUCUCGCAUGGGAUACUGACGAAAGGGUUACUGGAUCGGGAGAGCCUCGCGGCCUAUCAGCUUGUUGGUGAGGUAACGGCUCACCAAGGCAUCGACGGGUAGCUGGUCUGAGAGGAUGAUCAGCCACACUGGGACUGAGACACGGCCCAGACUCCUACGGGAGGCAGCAGUGGGGAAUCUUGCGCAAUGGGCGAAAGCCUGACGCAGCAACGCCGCGUGCGGGAAGAAGGCCCUCGGGUUGUAAACCGCUUUCAGUAGGAACGAAAAUGACGGUACCUGCAGAAGAAGGUGCGGCCAACUACGUG